AACAUAUGUGUUCUACAUUCCAUAUAUCGCGUGACCUUUUAGCGAGAUUUCAUCAGUAAGUCAACAUUGCUGUCGGAUGGCAGAAAAUUCAAAACAAGCGAGUUUAUCGGUCUGUAGAGACGAUUAUAAAGGAUUGAGGGGUGAAUAGAAUAUACAGGUUAUUGACAUCCCAAUCUUUAGUGGGAAGCUUCCUGGUAUCUUCCGCUAGUGACAGUCUACUGGCAAAUCCAGACAUGCAUUGGAAGCUUGUUGAUGAGGAGGACACAUGGACACCUGAUCCAAGAACUGUGACAUUUCAUUCGGAAUGAAAACCUGACAUUCAGUUGAUAUGGAACCUGAUUAUUCAGAGCAUUGCAGAUUUUAUGAAACUGUUUUUGACAAAGGAUUUGGUUUUCUCCAUCUGUGUUGCCACCAACCAUUAUGCUGAGAUGGUCAUAUC